rnacentral:rRNA from 1 species
AAUGAACGCUGGCGGCAUGCCUAACACAUGCAAGUCGAACGACCGCAUAGGGGAUAGUGGCGCAUGGGUGCGUAACGCGUGGGAACCUGCCCUUAGGUUCGGAAUACCUCAGAGACAUGUGAGCUAAUGCAGGAAAAUGUCUUCGAACCAAAGAUUUAUCGCCUUUGGUUGGGCCCGCGUUGUAUUAGCUGGGUGGGUGGGUAAAGGCCUAUCAAGGCGUCGAUACAUAGCUGGUCUGAGAGGCUCGGCAGCCACACUGGGACUGAGGCACGGCCCAGACUCCUACGGGAGGCAGGAGAGGGGAAUAUUGGACAACGGGGGGAGGCCUGAGGCAGCAAUGCUGCGUGAGUGAUGAUGGUCUUAGAGUUGAAAAGCUCUUUUACCCGGGACGAUAAUGACGGUACCGAAAGAAUAAGCCCCGGCUAACUCCGUG